AGCUCAUGUUAAACAACCAUCGUCUCCUGUCUAACCAACGUCUGUUUAAUCCAUUUUAAAUAAACUAGUUGUAGUAAGAAAUAAUACAGAAACGUAAUACAUUCGGUAAUAAUUCAACUAUGGAAAAUAGUAAAUUAACUGUGCACCAUACUCGAUUAUCAGGCCAUUGUAUCUUUGCUGGAAUCGAAAUUACGUAAGAUGUCAUCUACAGCGAAUUCGAACUAUAUCGUUGGUAUAAUAGCAACGUUAUCCUAGUUAAAUGAUUUUAGAUCCCAACUUUAGAUUCAAUUUUGUCAUGCUGUACGACUGUAAUUGACUGUAAUUGCAAUGUAAAUUGUCAGGGGCUUGCAAACGGAAAUUCUUCAGAGCAGACAGUUUUCAAAUUACUUCUACUGAUUCUUGAAAUUGGACGACACUUUAAUUACCUUCUAACAUACAAAAAAAUUAAAAAUUGCUAUACUUUUAUAAUUACGAGGUUAUGCGACUCUGUGGGUUUAUUUUAACGAAAUGACUGAAAUCCUUUCAGCGAAAGAGAAAAUAUCGAUCAAUAAUUUAUCUUUAGCAAUUUAUGAUACGAAAUCUAGAAUUGAAAACACGCAACUAUACGAAUUACUAUUAUUUUCCGCGAUUAGAUCUUUGCUAUAUUUCGAUAGAAUUCACGAACGUUCGUCGUUUCCACGAAUUCUAUAAUGCGCAUCGAUAAAAAUGCAUUCGUCACAUCCCGGAUUAAAAAAUUCGACCAAAAGGUCAAGUUUGAAAGUCAAGUUACCAAGCAAAAUAAACAAGUUCAGUUUCUUGAAGCAUAGUUUGUAUUUAAGACGAUGUCCAUAGUUUGUGAGACGAUAAUAAAUGCCUGAGGUAUUCUGCAUUUGAUGUGGCACUUAUUUAACUAAUUUACAAGAAGCGAGUAGUAAAAAUGAAGUCAGUUUGUCAGUGAAGAAAAUUGACGUUGAACAAUGAAAAUCUCCACUUGAGACUACAAGAGGGAAUAUAUCAUAUUCGAGGUUCUUUCAUGGGACACGCGGUUGACAUCGAGACGCAUAAUAAUAAGAUAUUUUGCUACGUUUGAAGAUAUCGUACGUCGAAACAUACACUAAUCAUCGAUCGAACACUUUACUGGGAAAAUUCUUCACCUACGCGACGCGUUACCUCGCUAUCCCCAAUCCCUAUAAGAAGAAUCUAUCAACCGACCAAAGAUCCAAGUUUGAGGAGAAGCUACUUGAGAACGUCAAUACCAGUGGUGAAAGAAGAUCGCAAGACAGGAAACCAUACUCGACGCGCGAUUUCACGCGAAACGAUGCGCCUAGAAAUACAUGCGCAUUCCGUAUCAUCGUUUCCAAAGGGAUGCCGUGUCACGUUGUUGAUAUUUAGAUAGCUCGUGUGGGUCGAAUCGAUUUGCGGAUAAAUUCAGCUAAUUAAUUAUUCGCGCAAACAGUUCGCCAAACGUUGUUUCGCUACGUACGCCAGCUGAUAAUUACCGGAUUUAUCGACUAAUGUAUAAUUAAGUAAAUGGACGGCGAGUAUGUUCAUCGCGUCGCUCUAUAAAACUAUCUACUACGUUGAAGCGAUUCGCAGCCAAGUGCUAGCAUGCAUAGUUAAGUUGAAACUUGGAAACGAGUAGCGCUUAACGCGCCAGAUAACACGGUUGAAAUUUUUAUGAAAAUUUUAUGAAAUUUUUAAAAGAAGUUGCCGUUCCGUCGCGGAAGGAACUAUCAAAGAAAUCACGUUUCAUGCCGCGAGAAAUCUGCCCAUCCAAGUAAAUUGCGUGACCAAGAAUUAAUUCUCUCGCCAUUCUGAGUAAUUUGCAAUUUUAAACAUUUUCUUUUCUUUGGUACUUUUGACUACAAAAAUUUGAUAUUAUGGAACUGAGACGUGUAGAA